GAUGAACGCUAGCGGGAGGCCUAACACAUGCAAGCCGAGCGGUAUUUGUUCUUCGGAACAGCGAGAGCGGCGCACGGGUGCGGAACACGUGUGCAACCUGCCUUUAUCUGGGGGAUAGCCUUUCGAAAGGAAGAUUAAUACCCCAUAAUAUAUUGAGUGGCAUCAUUUGAUAUUGAAAACUCCGGUGGAUAGAGAUGGGCACGCGCAAGAUUAGAUAGUUGGUGAGGUAACGGCUCACCAAGUCAAUGAUCUUUAGGGGGCCUGAGAGGGUGAUCCCCACACUGGUACUGAGACACGGACCAGACUCCUACGGGAGGCAGCAGUGAGGAAUAUUGGACAAUGGGUUAGCGCCUGAUCCAGCCAUCCCGCGUGAAGGACGACGGCCCUAUGGGUUGUAAACUUCUUUUGUAUAGGGAUAAACCUACUCUCGUGAGAGUAGCUGAAGGUACUAUACGAAUAAGCACCGGCUAACUCCGUG
rnacentral:rRNA from 1 species